rnacentral:rRNA from 1 species
UAAUACGGAGGGAGCUAGCGUUGUUCGGAAUUACUGGGCGUAAAGCGCGCGUAGGCGGCUUUGUAAGUUAGAGGUGAAAGCCCGGGGCUCAACCCCGGAAUUGCCUUUAAGACUGCAUCGCUUGAAUCCGGGAGAGGUGAGUGGAAUUCCGAGUGUAGAGGUGAAAUUCGUAGAUAUUCGGAAGAACACCAGUGGCGAAGGCGGCUCACUGGACCGGUAUUGACGCUGAGGUGCGAAAGCGUGGGGAGCAAACA